GCAGAACGCGAAGAACCUUACCAAGGCUUGACAUGGGAAAGACCGGACGAGAGAUCGUCCUUCUCCAGCAAUGGAGCUUUCCACACAGGUGCUGCAUGGCUGUCGUCAGCCCGUGUCGUGAGAUGUUGGGUUAAGUCCCGCAACGAGCGCAACCCUCGUCUUUAGUUGCCAUCAUUCAGUUGGGCACUCUAGAGAGACCGCCGUGAACAACGCGGAGGAAGGUGGGACGACGUCAAGUCAUCAUGGCCCUUACGUCUUGGGCCACACACGUGCUACAAUGGAUGUUACAGAGGGUCGCAAUGCCGCAAGGUGGAGCCAAUCCCUAAAAGCAUCCUCAGUUCAGAUCGGGGUCUGCAACUCGACCCCGUGAAGGUGGAAUCGCUAGUAAUCGCGGAUCAGCAUGCCGCGGUGAAUACGUUCCC
rnacentral:rRNA from 1 species